rnacentral:rRNA from 1 species
UAGGGAAUCUUCGGCAAUGGGGGCAACCCUGACCGAGCAACGCCGCGUGAGUGAAGAAGGUUUUCGGAUCGUAAAGCUCUGUUGUAAGAGAAGAACGUGUGUGAGAGUGGAAAGUUCACACAGUGACGGUAACUUACCAGAAAGGGACGGCUAACUACGUGCCAGCAGCCGCGGUAAUACGUAGGUCCCGAGCGUUGUCCGGAUUUAUUGGGCGUAAAGCGAGCGCAGGCGGUUUAAUAAGUCUGAAGUUAAAGGCAGUGGCUUAACCAUUAUUCGCUUUGGAAACUGUUAAACUUGAGUGCAGAAGGGGAGAGUGGAAUUCCAUGUGUAGCGGUGAAAUGCGUAGAUAUAUGGAGGAACACCGGUGGCGAAAGCGGCUCUCUGGUCUGUAACUGACGCUGAGGCUCGAAAGCGUGGGGAGCAAACAGG